rfam:Dichomitus squalens LYAD-421 SS1 unplaced genomic scaffold DICSQscaffold_68, whole genome shotgun sequence.
GGCGCUAUAGUGUAGUGGUUAUCACUUGGGAUUCUGAUACGAGUCUUCCCAAAACCCAGGUUCGAGCCCUGGUAGCGCCU